rfam:Oryza glumipatula chromosome 3, whole genome shotgun sequence.
AAUGUAUGAAGCCGUUGACUUUUUGUUCAACGUUUGACCAUUCGUCUUAUUCAAAAAAUUUAUGUAACUAUCAUUUAUUUCGUUGUGACUUGAUUCGUCAUCAAAUGUUCUUUAAGCUGGACAUAAAUAUUUUCAUAUUUGUAUAAAAAUUUUUAAUAAAACGAAUGGUCAAACGUUGAUUGAAAAGUCAACGGCGUCAUACAUU